GCCCAGAAAGGAGCAGCUCAGCCCUGGGCUCCGCACAGUAAAAUCCAAUUAUGUACAGAGAACCAGAAGUGUCUGUGGGCAAGGAGGGAGGGAAAGAGGAGAGUUCAGGCAGAGACAGUGCCUGGUCCACUGAGACCUCACGCCCCAAGGGAUGGGAUCUUGGUCCCUGCUGAGUCCUCAGCCCUGGGCUCCUAUCUGCCUGUCCCGUCAGGUCCUUGGCCCUGGGCUUGCUCAGGAGUUCAGCAGUUACCUACUGAGCUCCCCUGAGUGCCAGCCUCUGUGCUAAGCAGCUCAAAUCCACCAUUUCAUUUUCUCCUCCCAGCAGAUCUAGAAGGCCCCAAAUUCAAGGACCCCAGACUUAAGUUACCAUGAGCAGAAGACUGGACCAAAGGGGUGGCAGCCUUCCUCUCUCCAUCCAGACCACACCCCUGGGACUGGAAUUGGACAGUGAUCUUCAUCCAGGCUCCCCAGCCACACAGGGCCACAUCCAGAGAGCCCCCAGGUGGAAGGGCAGCCAGCACCCCUGUUCUCUGGCCUUGGACCUUACUGGCACCACGAUACCCCUGUCACACCGUGGACCAGAUCCACGAAUGUCAGAUGAUGAGAGAAGGGGGAAAUGAUCUACAAACUUCAAAUCCAGUUUACAGAUGCAAAACCUGAAGCCCAGAGAGGAGAGAAGGCUUGCCCAAGUGCCUGCUAUGAAGAAAAAGACUUUACGAUGUCCCUUUCAGACAGAGGUUCCAGACUGUCUGGAGACAUUUUUGGUUUUCACAUCUGAGAUUGCUACUGGCAUCUAGUGAGAAGAAAUGAAGGUUGCUGCAAGACAUCUACCAAGGCACGGGACACCUUAAAUGUCACUAAUGCCAAAGCUGAAAAACCCUGCCCUACGACUUUGCCCUCUGCCUAACUGGAGCUUCCAAGUGGGCUCCCUGAGCACUAGGACUCAAGGACACUGUAUAUAGUCUCUCCUAGAGUCGUGCCUGUCCCAUCUUCCUGUGCCUAACAUUGCUCAGCUGGUCAAUUCCACUUUUGGGCUCCAGUGUUCUAAAUUCACUGACUUACAGAGGCGCCAGUAUUAUUACUAUUUGCCUUCCUAACUGUUCCCUGAAGGCAGGCAAAGCAAGUAGUCUCCCUGCUGAGGGCAUGGAUUACAAUGUGACUGGGGAAUGGAAAGGGGAGGGGGAGGGGGGGAAGGAAAAUGACUGGGAUUAUUUAAUAAAAACAACCCUCCUGAGGAUGGUGGAGGUGAAGGACAGGGAGAGCAGAAUCUGUGAAGAUGUAGAAGAGAUGGGAGGAAUCCAGACUGCUCUGUGCUCCUCCCAUGUGCCCCAUCACAAAGCCGUGUAAACCAGUGGCUCCCUUGGGAAUUGAGGUCCCUUUGCACAUCUGAUGAAAACUUGGACACUCCCUCUGGAGAAAUGUGCAGAUGUACACUUCUUACAUAAUUUCAGGGACCCCAAAGCUCCAUAAUGGCUUCCAGAAGGAUUGGGCAGGGGGUAGAGGGAGGGAUAGAGGUUCAUCCUUAAGUGCACAUAGGAGAAUAAACAUGCAGGGACAAAAAAAUAAAGCUGGAAAAAAGGAAUGAAAAGGGAUUUGCCUUACCUGGUUUCCCCUCCCCCCACCCACCCUCCGAAUAGUGCAGCUUAUGGGAUCUUACUUCCUGGACUGGAGAUUGAAGCCAUGCUUAGCAGUGAAAGUGCCCAGUCCUAACCCCUGGACCUCCAGGGAAUUUCUGCACGUUACCUGAUACUAAAACAUAUUCAGGGGGCUCCCCUGGUGGCUCAGUGGUAAAGAAUCCACCUUCCUAUGCAGGAGACACGGGUUCAAUCCCUGGUCCGGGAAGACCCCACAUGCUGUGGAUCAACUAGGCCCAUGCACAACAACUAUUAAGCCUGUGCUCUAGAGCCUGGGAGCCACAACUGCUGAGCCCAUGUGCCGCAGCUUCUAAAGCUCACUCACCCUGAGCCCGUGCUCUGAAAGCAGAGAAGCCACCACAAUGAGAGGCUUUUGCACCGCAACUAGAGAGUAGCUGCUGCUCACCACAACUAGAGAAAAGCACGAGCAGCCACAAAGACCCAGCAGAACCAAAAAUAAAUAAAACAAAAACCAUAUUCUAAAGCCAGUGUAUUCAAAGCAGUGUGGUAUUGAAGCAGACCUAGAGGAAUCAGUGAAACAAAAUGGAGAGCAGAAAUGGACAACCACACAGGGGAAAUCCGUGUAGGAUGAAGGUAGCACUUCAGGAAAAUGAGGGGAAAUUCAGUAUAGGCCUUUUAAUAAAUAGAUGGACUAUCAAGCAAGUUAUUUGGGAAAAUAAGAGAGAGCUGUGUUCUUACCCUACACGGGUAUAAAUUCCAGGUGAAGCCCAUAUUUAAAUAAUAAUGCCAUAAUGUACCAGAAGAAAAAUAAGUGAAUGUUUUCACAACCUGGGGGGAUGGAAUGGAAAAGACUUUUCUAAGCAUGAUGAAACCUGUACGCCAAAGGGAAAACAUCGAUAAAUUUGACUAUAAAAAUUAUAAAACUAUAAAAACUUCUAUAAAGAAGUGUGAUCAUAUUCAAGUUUGAAAGACUUGAAAUACAAACUGGAAGGGCUGCAUUCCAGUUGCCCUCUUC
ensembl:lncRNA